GGCAGUGUGGCUUAUUGGAAAGAGCGUGGGCGUGGUAUCACAGGAUGUGGGUUCUAAUCCUGCCUCUGCCA
rnacentral:tRNA from 1 species